rnacentral:tRNA from 1 species
GCGCCCGUAGCUCAGCGGAUUAGAGCGCUUGGCUUCGGACCAAGAGGUCGGGGGUUCGAGUCCCUCCGGGCGCACCA